GAAAUGCAAUUUGGACAUCAGC
rnacentral:miRNA from 1 species